rnacentral:misc_RNA from 1 species
GAUGAAGAACGCAGCGAAAUGCGAUAGGUAAUGUGAAUUGCAGAAUUCAGUGAAUCAUCGAAUCUUUGAACGCACCUUGCGCCCUUUGGACUUCUGAAGGGCAUGCCUGUUUGAGUAUCAUGAACACCUCAACUCCUUAUGGUCUUCCAUGAUGAGCUUGGACUUUGGGGGUUUUGCUGGCCUACAGUCAGCUCCUCUAAAAUAAAUCAGCUUACCGGUGUUUGGUGGGUAUCAUGGGUGUGAUAACUAUCUACGCUCGUGGUUUUCCACCAGGUAACCUUCAGCAGUGGAGGUUCACUGGAGCUCAUAGAUGUCUCUCCUCAGCGAGGACAGCCCUUUGAAUGUUUGAUCUCAAAUCAGGUAGGACUACCCGCUGAACUUAAGCAUAUCAAUAAGCGGAGGA